UAACAAUACAUAUGGGAAGCAGAGCAGUUUUCACAAGAGGUGACUGGAGAGCUACCUUGAAAAGCUAACUAGGUUUUAACAGGGAACCAGCAUCUACAGCUCAGUGCUGCAUUGUAGGACACCUCUGACAAGAUGGAAGGGAAAAAAGACCUGGUGUGAGUCGCCAAACUUGCCUGGUUCUGAAUUGACAACUACGGAAGAAGGAAUGGAAGGAAAUUAACCACCAUUAAAGGCCUCUUGUGUGCCAGGGCGUUUGGACAUUAUUUCACUAUAAGACUGUGCUGGAGCUCCAUGAUGCAACUGGACUUCUUUACAUGAAAACAGCCCCCAUGGUGGGGUUUUCCUGACCCCACACUCUGCCUAGCAUCUUUGUAUGGUGAUUCACAGAUCAUGAGUGCACUCCUAAGGAAGUGGAAGAAGGUACUAAAUCUAAUGAAGGGAGACUUGACAGACCCCAGGAAGAAGCACAGAGUAAAAGGGCAGAAGCACGGACAUAAGAAGAACUUUCUUGGGAACUAAAUCUCCGAUGACAUAGUGAAAUACUUCAAAAUGUUGCUUUCUUUUGCUGGUAGUAAAAUUGAGAGCUCUCACUACUUAAAUGAAAAAUAUGACCACCAAACACAUCUUUAACAGGAAAACAGUUUUCUUGAUUGCUGAAUUUCCUCCCUAACAGAGUUGACAUAGAAAAAUAAAUGUGUUUGAACUUAA